rnacentral:rRNA from 1 species
GACAGAGGACGCGAACGUUGUUCGGUGUCACUGGGCUUAGAGCGUACGUAGGCGGUCUAGUUUGUGGGAGGUGAAAGCUCCGGGCUCAACCCGGAAAUUGCCUUCCAAACGGCUAGGCUUGAGGACCGGAGGGGGAAGCGGAACUUCACGUGUAGCGGUGAAAUGCGUUGAUAUGUGAGGGAACGCCGAUGGCGAAGGCAGCUUCCUGGCCGGUUUCUGACGCUGAGGUACGAAAGCGUGGGGAGCAAACGGGAUUAGAUACCCCCGUA